GUCCAAGUAAGGACACAGGAUGAACAUGGGGGCCCAUGCUCAGCUCCUGGGGCUCCUGCUGCUCUGGAUCCAAGGUGCCAGAGGUGACAUCCAGGUGACCCAGUCUCCAACAUCCCUUUCUGCAGCUGUAGGAGACACAGUCACCAUCACUUGCAGGGCCAGUGAGGACAUUAGCUAUGCUUUAAACUGGUAUCAACAGAAAUCAGGAAAAGCCCCUAAACUGAUGAUCAAAGCAGCAGAUGAAUUAGCACCUGGGGUCCCUCCAAGAUUCAGUGGCAGUAGAUCCGGGACAGAUUUCACUCUCACCAUCAGCAGCCUGGAGCCUGAAGAUGUUGCCACUUAUUACUGUCUACAGGCCUAUAGUACCCCUCCCACAGUGAUACAAGCCAUGACAUAA